CUAUUAAUAACCCCAAAAACACCCAACACCAAAUAAACAAACCAUUUUUCCCCCUAAGUAUGGGCGACAGAAAAGGAGCACUAUAAGAGCAAUAGAAAAAGUACCGCAAGGGAAUGCUGAAAAAGAAAUGAAACAAAUCAGUAAAGUUAAAAAAAGCAGAGAUUCAUUCUCGUACCUUUUGCAUCAUGAUUUAGUCAGUAAAGAACAAGCAAAAAGCACUUUAGUUUGAUUCCCCGAAACUAAGUGAGCUACUCCAAGACAGCCUAAAAAUUAGGGCCAACCCGUCUCUGUGGCAAAAGAGUGGGAUGAUCUUAGAGUAGAGGUGACAGACCUACCGAACUUAGUUAUAGCUGGUUGCUUGAGAAAUGAAUAGAAGUUCAGCUUUUUAGCUUCUUUCCUCAACUUGUUAUAACUAUAACCGAACUAAAGAAACCAAAAAAGUUAAUUAAAGGGGGUACAGCUCCUUUAAACAAGACACAACUUCACCAGAAGGGUAUAGAUCAUAAUAACCAAGGUAAUAUGUUUUAGUGGGCCUGAAAGCAGCCACCUGUAAGAAAGCGUUAAAGCUCAUUCAUACCGCCACCUUAAAUCCAGAUAAUAUAUCCAAACCCACUAAUUUUAUCAAGCCGCCCCAUGCCUACAUGGGGGCGAUUAUGCUAAUAUGAGUAAUAAGAAAAGCCACCUUUUCUCCUUGCACUUGUGUAAAUCGAAACGGACCCCCCAUCGAACAUUAAUCGGCCCCAAAAAAAGAGGGUAAUGAACCACAACCUAUUAACAAGAAAAACACCCACACAUUUACCGUUAACCUCACACUAGCGUGCUUACAAGGAUAAGACUAAAAGAAAAAGAAGGAACUCGGCAAAUACAAGCCUCGCCUGUUUACCAAAAACAUCGCCUCUUGACAACCAAACAUAAGAGGUCC
rnacentral:rRNA from 1 species